rnacentral:misc_RNA from 1 species
GGGAAAUUGAUGUCUUAUGGUACAUUCUCCAAAGGGAGAUUUCUCCUCAAAACUUUUGGACACUGCCAUCGCAUGAGCCAUCUUGUCGCCAGCAGAUUGAGCCGAACUUCCAAGGGGCGCAGAUACUAGCCACAAUUUACAGACUCUGGAGAUUUAUAGCAGAUUGUUGCAAUAAGGAGCUGCAGUAACACUGGUGCCCACGCCGUGUAUUACUACACUGCAUUCCUUUAAGAAAGUGCACUGUCAUGUUAGAGUUGUUCCAUGAACAGA